UCCAGGUAACACGAAAUCGUACCCCAAACCGACACAGGUGGUCAGGUAGAGAAUACCCAGGCGCUUGAGAGAACUCGGGUGAAGGAACUAGGCAAAAUGGUGCCGUAACUUCGGGAGAAGGCACGCUGGCGUUGGUGAAGGGACUGGCUCCCGGAGCUGAUACCAGUCGCAGAUACCAGCUGGCUGCAACUGUUUAAUAAAAACACAGCACUGUGCAAACACGAAAGUGGACGUAUACGGUGUGACGCCUGCCCGGUGCCGGAAGGUUAAUUGAUGGGGUCAGCCGCAAGGCGAAGCUCUUGAUCGAAGCCCCGGUAAACGGCGGCCGUAACUAUAACGGUCCUAAGGUAGCGAAAUUCCUUGUCGGGUAAGUUCCGACCUGCACGAAUGGCGUAAUGAUGGCCAGGCUGUCUCCACCCGAGACUCAGUGAAAUUGAACUCGCUGUGAAGAUGCAGUGUACCCGCGGCAAGACGGAAAGACCCCGUGAACCUUUACUAUAGCUUGACACUGAACCUUGAGCCUUGAUGUGUAGGAUAGGUGGGAGGCUUUGAAGUGUGGACGCCAGUCUGCAUGGAGCCGACCUUGAAAUACCACCCUUUAAUGUUUGAUGUUCUAACGUGGGCCCCUGAACGGGGUUGCGGACAGUGUCUGGUGGGUAGUUUGACUGGGGCGGUCUCCUCCCAAAGAGUAACGGAGGAGCACGAAGGUUAGCUAAUCCUGGUCGGACAUCAGGAGGUUAGUGCAAAGGCAUAAGCUAGCUUGACUGCGAGAGUGACGGCUCGAGCAGGUGCGAAAGCAGGUCUUAGUGAUCCGGUGGUUCUGAAUGGAAGGGCCAUCGCUCAACGGAUAAAAGGUACUCCGGGGAUAACAGGCUGAUACCGCCCAAGAGUUCAUAUCGACGGCGGUGUUUGGCACCUCGAUGUCGGCUCAUCACAUCCUGGGGCUGAAGUAGGUCCCAAGGGUACGGCUGUUCGCCGUUUAAAGUGGUACGCGAGCUGGGUUUAGAACGUCGUGAGACAGUUCGGUCCCUAUCUGCCGUGGGCGUUGGAAGAUUGAGGGGGGUUGCUCCUAGUACGAGAGGACCGGAGUGAACGCACCACUGGUGUUCGGGUUGUGAUGCCAAUUGCAUUGCCCGGUAGCUAAGUGCGGAAGAGAUAACCGCUGAAAGCAUCUAAGCGGGAAACUUGCCCCGAGAUGAGUCUUCCCUGGGACUUCGAGUCCCCUGAAGGGCCGUUGAAGACGACGACGUAGAUAGGCUGGGUGUGUAAGCGUAGCGAUACGUUGAGCUAACCAGUACUAAUGACCCGAGAGGCUUAACCUUACAACACCGAAGGUGUUUUAG
rnacentral:rRNA from 1 species